rnacentral:rRNA from 1 species
UACAUGGGGUGCAACCGUUGCUCGGAAUUAUUGGGCGUAAAGCGCGCGUAGGCGGUUAUUUAAGUCGGAUGUGAAAGCCCUCGGCUUAACUGAGGAAGUGCACCCGAAACUGAGUAGCUAGAGUACGAAAGAGGGUCGCGGAAUUCCCGGUGUAGAGGUGAAAUUCGUAGAUAUCGGGAGGAACACCGGUGGCGAAGGCGGCGACCUGGGUCGAGACUGACGCUGAGGCGCGAAAGCGUGGGGAGCAAACAGG